UACGGGGGGGGCAAGCGUUGUUCGGAAUUACUGGGCGUAAAGGGCUCGUAGGUGGCCAACUAAGUCAGACGUGAAAUCCCUCGGCUUAACCGGGGAACUGCGGCUGAUACUGGAUGGCUUGAGUUUGGGAGAGGGAUGCGGAAUUCCAGGUGUAGCGGUGAAAUGCGUAGAUAUCUGGAGGAACACCGGUGGCGAAGGCGGCAUCCUGGACCAACACUGACACUGAGGAGCGAAAGCCAGGGGAGCAAACGGG
rnacentral:rRNA from 1 species